UGGGGAAUAUUGCACAAUGGGCGAAAGCCUGAUGCAGCAACGCCGCGUGAGUGAUGAAGGCCUUCGGGUUGUAAAGCCCUGUCUUUUGGGGCGAUAAUGACGGUACCAAAGGAGGAAGCCACGGCUAACUACGUGCCAGCAGCCGCGGUAAUACGUAGGUGGCAAGCGUUGUCCGGAUUUACUGGGCGUAAAGGAUGCGUAGGCGGAUUUUUAAGUGAGAUGUGAAAUACCCGGGCUUAACUUGGGUGCUGCAUUUCAAACUGGGAAUCUAGAGUGCGGGAGAGGAGAAUGGAAUUCCUAGUGUAGCGGUGAAAUGCGUAGAGAUUAGGAAGAACACCAGUGGCGAAGGCGAUUCUCUGGACCGUAACUGACGCUGAGGCAUGAAAGCGUGGGUAGCAAACAGGAUUAGAUACCCUGGUAGUCCACGCCGUAAACGAUGAGUACUAGGUGUAGGAGGUAUCGACCCCUUCUGUGCCGCAGUUAACACAAUAAGUACUCCGCCUGGGAAGUACGAUCGCAAGAUUAAAA
rnacentral:rRNA from 1 species